GCCGUGGCCUACUGGUUAGCGCUUCGGACUUGUAAGCGGAGGAUUGCCGGUUCGAACCCCGACCAGUAGGCA
rnacentral:tRNA from 1 species